rnacentral:misc_RNA from 1 species
AGAAUGAGAGGGACUAACUAAUAGGUUUUUAUAAUUGAUUCACAGAUAUGUAUUUAAGCUCUCGAAUGAUAGUACUUCCUCCACUGUGCGAAAUCUUGGCUUGAAAUGGUGGACAAAGAAUAUGUACCUGCAUUAGUGUAGCUCAUCUUUUUUCUCCCUUUUUGUCUUUUUCAGUUUUUGGGUGUUCCUUUUUAUUAUUUUUUUU